rnacentral:rRNA from 1 species
AUAAAGUGCGUCGUAGUCCGGAUUGGAGUCUGCAACUCGACUCCAUGAAGUCGGAAUCGCUAGUAAUCGUGGAUCAGAAUGCCACGGUGAAUACGUUCCCGGGCCUUGUACACACCGCCCGUCACACCAUGGGAGUGGGUUGCAAAAGAAGUAGGUAGCUUAACCUUCGGGAGGGCGCUUACCACUUUGUGAUUCAUGACUGGGGUGAAGUCGUAACAAGGUAACCGUAGGGGAACCUGCGGUUGGAUCACC